AUGGCAGUACGCGAGCUGUUGGAUCUUCAAGGGCGGUUGAGAGCAUUUGUGAUCUUUUUGUCUGAAUCUCAUAUGGACAAAGUUAAGAACCAGCUUGGGACCGGCAUCAUUUGUCUUGGUGAUGUCUUCCGGAGCUUAAGGGAGAUGCCACAGGUCAAGAAGGCAUUUUUUGAUAUUGGCGAUCUGAAGGCCCCAGGACUGGAUGCCUUGCACGUGAUAUUUUAUAAGAGGUUUUGGCCCAUGCUUGGAGAAGAUCUUGUUGAUGAAGUGUUGAAGGCCGUCAAUUUAGGUACAUUCCCACCGGGGUGGAAUGACAGUGCUAUAGUCCCAAAAAUAAAUUCUCCCGAGAAAGUGACUCAGUUCGGGCCAAUUAGUCUAUGCAAUGUUAUUUACAAGGUAAUCUCAAAGAUGCUAGCAACAAGGUUGAAAUUUUUUUUACCAGACAUUAUUAGCCCAACGCAGAGUGCUUUUGUUCCUGGCGUCUGA
rnacentral:rRNA from 1 species